rnacentral:rRNA from 1 species
GUCGAGCGAACAGACGAGGAGCUUGCUUCUCUGACGUUAGCGGCGGACGGGUGAGUAACACGUGGAUAACCUACCUAUAAGACUGGGAUAACUUCGGGAAACCGGAGCUAAUACCGGAUAAUAUAUUGAACCGCAUGGUUCAAUAGUGAAAGACGGUUUUGCUGUCACUUAUAGAUGGAUCCGCGCCGCAUUAGCUAGUUGGUAAGGUAACGGCUUACCAAGGCAACGAUGCGUAGCCGACCUGAGAGGGUGAUCGGCCGCACUGGAACUGAGACACGGUCCAGACUCCUACGGGAGGCAGCAGUAGGGAAUCUUCCGCAAUGGGCGAAAGCCUGACGGAGCAACGCCGCGUGAGUGAUGAAGGUCUUCGGAUCGUAAAACUCUGUUAUUAGGGAAGAACAAAUGUGUAAGUAACUAUGCACGUCUUGACGGUACCUAAUCAGAAAGCCACGGCUAACUACGUGCCAGCAGCCGCGGUAAUACGUAGGUGGCAAGCGUUAUCCGGAAUUAUUGGGCGUAAAGCGCGCGUAGGCGGUUUUUUAAGUCUGAUGUGAAAGCCCACGGCUCAACCGUGGAGGGUCAUUGGAAACUGGAAAACUUGAGUGCAGAAGAGGAAAGUGGAAUUCCAUGUGUAGCGGUGAAAUGCGCAGAGAUAUGGAGGAACACCAGUGGCGAAGGCGACUUUCUGGUCUGUAACUGACGCUGAUGUGCGAAAGCGUGGGGAUCAAACAGGA